ensembl:snRNA U6 U6 spliceosomal RNA
GUGCUUGCUACGGCUGCACAUAUACUAAAAUUGAUCAAUACAGAGAAGAUUAGCAUGGCCCUGCGAAAGGAUGACACGCAAAUUCCGUGAAGCGUUCCAUAUUUGU